AUUGAACGCUGGCGGCAGGCCUAACACAUGCAAGUCGAGCGGAGCGGCGGACGGGUGAGUAAUGCCUAGGAAUCUGCCUGGUAGUGGGGGAUAACGUCAGGAAACGGGCGCUAAUACCGCAUCAUCUCAGCUGAGCCUAGGUCGGAUUAGCUAGUUGGUUGGGUACAGACCUAGCAAGUCGACCAUCCGUAACUGGUCUGAGAGGAUGAUCAGUCACAGUGGAACUGAGACAAGGUCCAAACUCCUACGGGAGGCAGCAGUGGGGAAUAUUUGACAAUGGGCGAAAGCCUGAUCCAGCCAUGCCGCGUGUGUGAAGAAGGGCUUCGGAUUGUAAAGCACUUUAAGUUGGGAGGCGUUACCAACAGAAUAAGCACCGGCUAACUUCGUGCCAGCAGCCGCGGUAAUAC
rnacentral:rRNA from 1 species